AUGAGUUCAAAGCCAGCCUCAGCAAUUUAACAAAGCCCUGAGCAACUCAGUGAGACCCUGUCUCUAAAUAAAAUACAAAAAAGGGUUGGGGAUAUGUGGUUCAGUGGUUAAGUGCCCUUGAGUUCAAUCCCCAGUACCAAAUAAAUAAAUAAAUAAAUAAAGGGAUGAGAAGUAGGUAUAUUUUGGAAAUGGAUAUGUUUUGAAAAUGACACUAUCUCAUUUUGCUGCUGAAUUAAAAUUUGGGUUAUGAGAAACGCGAGCAGUCAGGGCGUCUCCAGUUUUGGGCCUGAGCUCCUGCAGAAGUCAACUUGUCUUUCAGGAAGGCGGCACCCAGCAGGAGCUGGUGUGGGCAAGUCCAAGGUCGGCUUUGGGAAUUGCCAAGCGUGGGAGUCUGUUUGACAAACAAAGGCAUGUGCCCAGGAACCGACUGAUAUUCAAGAUCGCAAUUGGUGAAAGUCUAGACCAGAGGGUAAAAUCGGAGCGCUGUCAAUACGUAUUCGUUUCCUUUUUCCAUCUUUCCCUCAGAACAAGGCUGGUGAUGACUGUGGUGGUUAAAAUAGCUCAGACUUCACUCUGGCACGUUGAGCACUGUGAGCGAUGUCACGUGUGCUAUUUCAUUUAAUCUCGACAAGUACUGUGUGAGCGAACGCUCAUCACGCCUUUUUACAGAUGUGCAAACUGAGGCUUUGGGGGGGCAAAUAACCCAGACACUGGGUGACCCAUCAGUUCUGUCAACAGCCAUUUGGGGCCAAGGCUCAGCAUUUCCUCUGCUGGUCUUACUCUAACAUCUACUGAUUGUUAAAUCAGUACUUGGUACUUAGUACCUGUUUACAGAAUGAAUGAAUGACUGGUGUCAAUCAUGGUGGAAAUCUUCAGACCAGUCUUCACUGUGCUGGCCGGCUUGGAAGAGGAAUGUGAGCCAAGGGGUCCAAGAGCACAUGAUGCUCCCACAGACCCUGCAAGGGGCCCUCAUUCCCACAAGGACCAGUCAGGUCUCCAUAAUACCAGCUCACCUGCCAGAGGUCAAGGACCUCUGGCUGCCCCUCCCCAGAAGGUGUCUGUUUUCUGCUCCUUUUAAGUCUUCCAGAGCCCUUCCAAGUAACCCCAGGGAUUCCAGAGCCUUCCCAGCUGGAGCAUGGGGGGCUGAGCCCAGGAUGGGCAGGAAGGGGGCUGGGUGGAGUGCACGUCAUUUGCUACUUACAGAAGAGGAAACUGAGGCUCAGAAAGGAGGGUGCCUUGCCCAGGUCAGUGGGACAGGGCUGGUGACCUCAUAGCACGGCGGCUGCUCCAGACAGCAUCAUCCGCAUGCAAGCCAACUCAUGACACUGGCAGGACAGUCACUUCUCUGUUUCCCUUUGCCAGGGCGCUGGGGACGGGCAGUGCUGCUCAGUGACAGAAUGGGGACCUGCUGAGUCACAAGAGGACAAAAGAGCCUUUCCCAAGCCUGUCUGAUGAGCCUGAAGUGACUACCUUUCAUUUAAUCCAUAAAGGACCUUUCUGGACCGGAUCGCUUAGGGAGACUGAGGUCCAGGGCUCUGAUCACUCACACAGAACGGCUGGGCAGCAGAACUGGGUCAGGAACACCCGUCGAGUGCUCUGGUCAUCAGGCCACAGAGUUCCGCUGCCCUCCUG
rnacentral:lncRNA from 1 species